AUGGCCUCUUCCUUCUCCUCCUCCUCCUUCUGUCGAGCUAGCACGGCCAUGAUGAUCUUCCUCUCCUCCUCCGUCAGAUGGCUCAGGUCCGGCUCGGGCAUGGACGCCGGCACGACGGGUGGACGCGCGCCGCCCGGAGGGCCCACCGAGGCGGACAUCUUCUCCCCCUCUCUUUGGCGGCUAGGAUCACUGACAGAAAUCCCGCUGGCAGAGCCCACGGAUCACGACAUGGCCCAUGGACGAAGCAACGGCUCGGCUCCAAAUAAAGACUCUUCACACCUACCACCCUUCUCUUCAGACCACUCAGACCCACACCUACCACCCUUCUCUUCAGACCACUCAGACCCACACCUACCACCCUUCUCUUCAGACCACUCAGACCCACACCUACCACCCUUCUCUUCAGACCAUUCAGAUCCACACCUACCACCCUUCUCUUCAGACCACUCAGACCCACACCCACCACCCUUCUCUUCAGACCACUCUGACCCACACCUACCACCCUUCUCUUCAGACCACUCAGACCCACACCCACCACCCUUCUCUUCAGACCACUCAGACCCACGCCUACCACCCUUCUCUUCAGACCACUCAGACCCACACCCACCACCCUUCUCUUCAGACCACUCAGACCCACACCUACCACCCUUCUCUUCAGACCUACGGCUGACAUCUUUAGUCUCUCUAUCUCUCUCUCUUUCUUUCUAUCCAUCCUCUUGAUACAGAUCUCUUGAUCCAUCCUCUGGCUGCAUUUUAAGUAAGUGGAGACUUUUUCUCUUUUAAUUCAGCUUUCUUCCCAUUUCUUGUGUUUUCAAAAACAAACCAGGUUGUAGUUUUAAAAUGCAAACCAACUGGAGGAGAUUAUUCAAAAAUGGUAUCUUAAAAUAAGUAACAAAAUCCCACUGGCCCAGGUAUUGUAUCAUCUGUAACCAAAUCCCACUGGCCCAGGUACUGUUUCAUCUGUAACCAAAUCCCACUGGCCCGGGUAUUGUUUCAUCUGUAACCAAAUCCCACUGGCCCAGGUAUUGUAUCAUCUGUAACCAAAUCCCACUGGCCCAGGUACUGUUUCAUCUGUAACCAAAUCCCACUGGCCCGGGUAUUGUUUCAUCUGUAACCAAGUCCCACUGGCCCAGGUAGUGUUUCAUCUGUAACCAAAUCCCACUGGCCCAGGUAUUGUAUCAUCUGUAACCAAAUCCCACUGGCCCAGGUACUGUUUCAUCUGUAACCAAAUCCCACUGGCCCGGGUAUUGUUUCAUCUGUAACCAAAUCCCACUGGCCCGGGUACUGUUUUAUCUGUAACCAAAUCCCACUGGCCCAGGUAUUGUUUCAUCUGUAACCAAAUCCCCCUGGCCCAGGUAGUGUUUCAUCUGUAACCAAAUCCCACUGGCCCAGGUACUGUUUCAUCUGUAACCAAAUCCCACUGGCCCAGGUACUGUUUCAUCUGUCAACUAAUUACACUCAUUGCACUGUGGUCCUGAGACUAUGGCAGGUAGCCUACAUCUAGGUUACAAUAGUAGUCAACAGUUAGUAUGACACAUUACGUUACAGUGUGGCAGGUUAAAGCCUCAGGCUUAGUUUUAUUACUAGACGAGGUCCAUUAUCAGAUCUGACCCAUAUGAUUCAGUCAUUGAAACCCAUGUCACCUUCAAACACAUACACAGCACUUCUUUAGUGGGUUUGAGAAGGUUCAGGGCUUGAUGUUUAAUGUGAGCUCAACGUUAGCUGCUUAGUUGGCCAAACUCUCUUUAUUAAUUGCUAUUGUUAGUAUAGUUUUUAUCUCACAGUCUCUAGUUCUCCUUCUCAAUUCAAGCCCAUUGCCAGAGUGGACCUCCCUGGUGCAUUCCAUCAGUCAAAGUUGUGUAUAGGGCUAUUCUUUCUGACACUUUUGUAUCCACCUUUCAUGCAGAAUGUCUCCUGGCUCCAGCCGUAAGCUGUGUCCUAGUUGUAACACAUCAAUAGGAGUAGCAUCAAAGAAGUGCACGUUCUGUGGUGCAACAAUACAGCUAAAGGUCAAGUUAGAGGCCCAAAAAAGGAAGGCUACAGAUGAAUGGGAAAAUAAGACAAUGAAACAUGGAAGGUAUGCAACCUUGGUUAAUGCAGCAAACAAGCUGGUAAGCUUUAUUAUGUUUUCCUCUAAAAAGAUUUCUGCAUUUCUAGCUUAGGGAUAUGAUACUGUAACGCCCUGGCCAUAGAGAGGGUUUUUUUGUUCUUUAUUUUGGUUAGGCCAGGGUGUUACAUUGGGUGGGCGUUCUAUGUUCCUUUUUCUAUGUUUUGGUAUUUCUUUGUUUUGGGCCAUGUGUGUGGCUCCCAAUCAGGCACAGGUGGUGCUCAUUGCUGCUGAUUGGGAGUCACACAUAAGGAGCAUGUUUUGCCUUUGGGUUUUGUGGGUAAUUGUUUCUUGUUUAGUGUGGUUGCACCUGACAGGACUGUUGGUUGUCAGUUUCCUUGUUUUUGUAUAGUGUU
rnacentral:lncRNA from 8 species